CUUGUUUAUAGUUCGUUUGCGCAGGCGCGACUACCUCCAGGGCUCAGCUAGACAUCCGCUGGCAGUCCCUGACUUAGUAGUGGGCUCCGGCCCGAGCGUCUGAGUACCCGAGAGCCGCUGUGACCGCCGCCGGCGAGGAAUAGCUCUCUGGAGAAGGCAAAGAAGAGGAAUAUAUUAGGAAGUGAAGAUGAUGUAAGAAACAAAAUACAUCCAAACACUGUUUUUAAAGAUGUGUAAAUUCCAAAGGAUCCAUAAUGAAAAAUGCCAUAUACCUCCAGUAAGAGAGAACUGAUGAACUCUUGAGUGCAGACUGAAGCAUACUUUUUAAACUUUAUUUUUCUUGUAUGUGUGUAUUUUCCUUUGCAACAUAACUAAUGUGGAGAUGUUUUGCAUGACUUCACAUGUAUAAUUGAUAAGAUAUUGUUUGCCUUCUCAAUGGAUGGGUGAGGGAGAGGAUUUGGAACUCAGUUUUUAGAAGCAAAUGUUUUUUUAAAAAUUACAUGUAAUUGGGAAAUAUUUAAUAAAAUAAAAAUGUAUUUUUUAAAGAUAUAUUUUUAGGAUCAGUCUCUUUGGUUCUAGUUCUGAUUUUAUUUGUGUCAUUGCAUAAACUUACCAACUUUUCAGAUUCAUCUUGUUAAGAUGAAGUUAUUUUUCUAUCAUGAUGACUUACUGCAUGGGACACCUUGCAGUAUGAUACAUAGAAAGAGUCCUGUGAGGCUACGGCACCUGAGUUAUAAUCCUAGCUCUGUCACUUACAACCUAUAUGAUCUAUUUGUUUUUUUGCUUUGAGAAAGGGUUCUGAGUCUGUCCCAGUCUAGAAGUACAGAGGCCACUCACAGGUCCAACCUCACUGCUGAACAGUGAGGAAACUUUGACCUGGAUUGGUUCACCUCUCCUUAGACACCCCUAGGGGCCCUGUGCUCCCAGGCACCUACUGUAUUGGUGCCAGGUUUAGUAUGGACACUCGGGUGACAUUAGCCUCACUGUAACUCAGAAUUCCCAAACUUAAGCAAUGUACCAGCCUCAGAAGAGAUGUGCAGCCAUAACUGAUGUGAUCCUGAACAAGUUACCUCACUUCUCUGGCCUUCAGUUUCCUUAUUUGUAAAAUUAAAGAAUUGGUAUACAUGACUUCUAUGCUUUCUUCCUAUUCUAGAUCUAGGAGUCUGUGAUUGUGUCAGUAUUGUAAUGCUAAUCUAUACAUUUGGCAGCACAUUACAGUGCAUCUUCAUUACAGUGUUGGGACAUUUAUUUUUUGUUCUAGAUUCAUUAGGUCAUCAUUUGAUACAUUAUGGAAUUUAUAAAUGUGGAUUCUUGUAAAAGUUCCAAUAAACUAACUUGCUCAAGAUUAGUUACUGGCUUUGGGGCAUCUUAGUAUCCAUCCUUUGACCUCAGAGUGAUUUUAUCCAUCUUGAUCCCAGAAUUCUUGGUGUGGGUGAGACAAAGGGACCUUUAGUUAACUGAAAAUGCUCCAAGCCAAAGUAAACCACACAAAGUCAUUUAUUUUUUUCCAAAUCAACUAACCUUUCUUACUUUUAUCAUGGUGUAGAAGUAACUGAGUAAAGGCUAUGUUAGUAGAGCAAAAGUUCAAACAGGUCCUACCAGUAAUCUGGAAAAGCCAGGUAUCGAUAUUGUCUGAAAAAAAAUUUUGAUCCUAACAACUUGUGAAGACCAAGUACUGAAUGCAUAUAGGGAGUCUGUGAUCUAAAUCCAUGACAUACUGCACUGUAAUGAGCCUUCAAAUGUUUAGUAAAUAGCUAGAAUAUCUAAAUUAGCAUAUUAUUGUAAAGCCUAAUCAUUUGUCAGACUCUAUAAUGGCAAGGACCAUGCCUAAUUCUUUGUAUCAUCUGGACUGUUUUGCAUACAGUGGCCACGCAAUAAACAUUUAUUAAAUGAAUAAA